rnacentral:rRNA from 1 species
AUUGAACGCUGGCGGCAUGCUUUACACAUGCAAGUCGAACGGCAGCGCGGGCUUCGGCCUGGCGGCGAGUGGCGAACGGGUGAGUAAUACAUCGGAACGUGCCCAGUAGUGGGGGAUAGCUCGGCGAAAGCCGGAUUAAUACCGCAUACGACCUGAUGGUGAAAGCGGGGGAUCUUCGGACCUCGCGCUAUUGGAGCGGCCGAUGGCAGAUUAGUUAGUUGGUGGGGUAAAGGCCUACCAAGGCGACGAUCUGUAGCUGGUCUGAGAGGACGACCAGCCACACUGGGACUGAGACACGGCCCAGACUCCUACGGGAGGCAGCAGUGGGGAAUUUUGGACAAUGGGCGAAAGCCUGAUCCAGCAAUGCCGCGUGUGUGAUGAAGGCCUUCGGGUUGUAAAGCACUUUUGGCGGGAACGAAAAGGACUGUGCCAAUACCACGGUUCGAUGACGGUACCCGCAGAAUAAGCACCGGCUAACUACGUG